CGCUUUAUUUAAAAGAUAAUGAGAGUGCCGCUGCCUGUGGUGCGCUGGGGAGCGUGCGUGUGCGUCCGCACACGUGCAUGCACGCGAGCUGCCAGAAGGAAGCCUCGUCGGGCCUUCUUCAUCAAAAUGUCAUCCGCAGCGGCAUCUGACGCCCGGUUACAUUGGUAAACUAAUUUUGGAGUCUCAUAAAAGGAUCAGCCCAGCUGUUGCCUCCUGGGUGGAUGCUGUUUCCUGGCCGCCUCUCUCCCAGACUCAUCGUGCCCGAUGGUGGUGGUUGCAGGUUCCUCGCCGAGCGCCUCCCGCUCUCCCUGCCUGCUGGUUGGGCUGCUAGCAUCCAUUCAGUUCUGUAC